CUCCCUUCUUCACAACCAUCUCAAUGUGCUCAGUUGGCCCAUCAGUCAGAUGCCAUCCUCUGUGUGCAGUGCAGAUUGUUGUCCUGGAUUCAGAAGAUUCUGGAAGGAGGGAAUGGCAGCCUGCUGUUUUGUUUGUAGCCCCUGCCCUGAAAAUGCAAGUUCUAAUGAGACAAAUAUGGAUCAGUCUGUGGAUUGUCCAGAAUACCAGUAUGCCAACACAGAAUAGAACAAAUGCAUUCAGAAAGGUGUGAUCUUUCUAAGCUAUGAAGACCCCUUGGGGAUAGCUCUUGCCUUAAUCGCAUUCUGUUUCUCUGUAUUCACAGC
ensembl:lncRNA